rnacentral:rRNA from 1 species
GAUGAACGCUAGCGGCAGGCCUAACACAUGCAAGUCGAGGGGGAAGUUACUUUCGGGUGACUGAGACCGGCGUACGGGUGCGUAACGCGUAUAUAAUCUGCCUUUCACUGGGGGAUAGCCCGAAGAAAUUUGGAUUAAUACCCCAUAGUAUAUAGGGACGGCAUCGUUUUUAUAUUAAAGCUUAGGUGGUGAAAGAUGAGUAUGCGUUCUAUUAGCUAGUUGGAGAGGUAACGGCUCCCCAAGGCGAUGAUAGAUAGGGGUUCUGAGAGGGAUGUCCCCCACACUGGUACUGAGAUACGGACCAGACUCCUACGGGAGGCAGCAGUGAGGAAUAUUGGACAAUGGUCGGAAGACUGAUCCAGCCAUGCCGCGUGCAGGAUGAAGGUCUUAUGGAUUGUAAACUGCUUUUGUAAGGGAAGAAUAAGGGCUACGCGUAGUUUGAUGACGGUACCUUACGAAUAAGCAUCGGCUAACUCCGUG